CCUACGGGUGGCUGCAGUGGGGAAUUUUGGACAAUGGGCGAAAGCCUGAUCCAGCCAUGCCGCGUGAGUGAAGAAGGCCUUCGGGUUGUAAAGCUCUUUCGGCGGGGAAGAAAUCGCAUGGGUUAAUACCCUGUGUGGAUGACGGUACCCGAAUAAGAAGCACCGGCUAACUACGUGCCAGCAGCCGCGGUAAUACGUAGGGUGCGAGCGUUGCGCGGAAUUAGUGGAGGCGGUUCGUGCGGUCGCAUGUGAAAUCCCCGGGCUCAACCUGGGAACUGCAUUUGAGACUGCAAGGCUAGAGUGUGGCAGAGGGGGGUGGAAUUCCACGUGUAGCAGUGAAAUGCGUAGAGAUGUGGAGGAACACCGAUGGCGAAGGCAACCCCCUGGGCCAAUACUGACGCUCAUGCACGAAAGCGUGGGGAGCAAACAGGAUUAGAUACCCUAGUAGUC
rnacentral:rRNA from 1 species